GGGGAGGUAGUGUAGUGGUUAUCACGUUUGCUUUGCAUGCAAAAGGCCCCGGGUUCAAAUCCCGGUCUCUCCA